GGUUGUGGCUCAGUGGUAGAGCGCUCACCUAGCAUGUGUAAGGCACUGGGUUCCAUCCUCGGCAACACA
rnacentral:tRNA from 1 species